AUUGAACGCUGGCGGCAGGCCUAACACAUGCAAGUCGAACGAGUGGCGGACGGGUGAGUAAUGUCUGGGAAACUUCCUGAUGGAGGGGGAUCACUACUGGAAACGGUCGCUAAUACCGCCUCCUCUCCUUUGUCCCCAGAUGGGAUUGGCUUGUUGGUGGGGUAACGGCUCACCAAGGCGACGAUCCCUCGCUGGUCUGAGAGGAUGACCAGCCACACGGGAACUGAGACACGGCCCGGACUCCUACGGGGGGCAGCAGUGGGGAAUAUUGCACAAUGGGCGCAAGCCGGCUGCAGCCAUGCCGCGUGUAUGAAGAAGGCCUUCGGGUUGUAAAGUACUUUCAGCGGGGAGGCGGUACCCGCAGAAGAAGCACCGGCUAACUCCGUGCCAGCAGCCGCGGUAAUUC
rnacentral:rRNA from 1 species